UUUCAUUCAGAUAAGGAAACUAUUUAUUGUUAUUAUUAUUAUAUUUUUAGGUUAUUUAUUAAUUAAGAAAACUAAACAAACUGAAAUUUUUAAAUUAAGUGUGAUGACAUGGUAGAUGCCACGUAGGAUGCCACGUAAUUUGGUAUUAGAUUUUGGUAUAACUUUUUGGUGGACGUAGCAGAACUCAUUUAAUAAUGGGUAAAUAACACUAAAGUACCAUUUGAAGGUAAAAAUUAUAAAAAAAUCAUCAAUUGUUCCACAUGUUAAAAUGGUCACCCUAAAUGUUAUUAGAUGAUAAAAUAGUUACUUAAUUCUAUAUCAUAUGAUCUAAUGGUCAUUAUUAAGUAUCAAUUAUGAUAAAAAAGUACAUUUUUAAAUUUUAAGGUUUGACAAUUCUACCAUUUCUGUUAUAAACAUCAUUCUUUUCUCUCUUUCUG
rnacentral:lncRNA from 1 species